UGUGCUCUGAAGACAAACUUUCACUCA
rnacentral:piRNA from 1 species